rnacentral:rRNA from 1 species
UGGGGAAUAUUGGACAAUGGACCGAGAGUCUGAUCCAGCAAUUCUGUGUGCACGAUGAAGUUUUUCGGAAUGUAAAGUGCUUUCAGUUGGGAAGAAAAAAAUGACGUUACCAACAGAAGAAGUGACGGCUAAAUACGUGCCAGCAGCCGCGGUAAUACGUAUGUCACAAGCGUUAUCCGGAUUUAUUGGGCGUAAAGCGCGUCUAGGUGGUUAUGUAAGUCUGAUGUGAAAAUGCAGGGCUCAACUCUGUAUUGCGUUGGAAACUGUAUAACUAGAGUACUGGAGAGGUAAGCGGAACUACAAGUGUAGAGGUGAAAUUCGUAGAUAUUUGUAGGAAUGUCGAUGGGGAAGCCAGCUUACUGGACAGAUACUGACGCUAAAGCGCGAAAGCGUGGGUAGCAAACAGG